CACUGAGCACUAUAGAAAGGCAAACACAGUUUACUUUUUCGAAAAAGAGAAAUCAGGGAAUUAGAGACUGCUGUUCCCUGAAACAAGUCUAAAAAAAUAUUACAUGAUCAAUUUAAAGCAAAUAGAAGAUAAAAAGAAAAAAAAAGACAUAGAUUUACUAAGAAUUAAUCAUGCAACCUUAACUCUAAUUUCCUUCUUUGAGAAAAGAAUGUCUAGUAGAUGAAGAGGAGGCAGCAGAUGGGACAUAUUUUGCUUUAGGAAAGCUUUUGAAACUGUUCCACAUGAUUCUUUCAGAAGCAGACUAAAGAAAUAUGGUCUAUAUCAGUGUGCCCAGUAUUUCUGGCUGGGUGAGACACUUACCUUGUUUCUGUAUAAGGGAGAGACCAUAUGGUGCAGCCCUUCCUCUAAUGCAUAACUGUAUUGUGCAAGUGUAGAAAAGCCAGUGCUUUCUGGGGCAAUGAGAUUUAUUGCGUAUGUGCAGGCAGAUUCACAUACUGCCGUGAUCAGAGGCACUAAGUGGACUCCCAGCAAAGCUGGCCUGCAGUGUGCUCAAAAUAGCCCAUCCAGCGGGCAGCCCUCCCUGUUGACUCUGGUCUGGAUGCAUAAGAGAGUGAGGGAGACCACAGCCAAAUUCGUUGUCCUGGCAGGCCCUGUGCAGUUCAUAGCUUGAGAUUCAUCAUUUGGAAGGGAUGUGAUAUUACUGUAAUGGGGGUGGCAAUGGUGCACUGUCAGACUGGGAGGUUAUUUUGACCAGAGUCCUGCUGGCAUAUGUUCUGGGCCCAGUUCUGUUCAGUUUUUUAAUUAACGACCUAUAUGAUUUAACAAAGAACUCCCUCAUAAAAUUUGUGGAUAAACCAAGAUGCACUUUGAAGGUCAGGAUCAGACUUCUCAUGAUCUUGAGAGACUGGAGAAAGUGAUCCAGAAAUCAACAGUGUGAAAUAAAAAGAAACAAGUGCUGUGUGCCACAUUUAUGAAAGAGGAAACAAAUAGCAAAAUAUAAAAAAAAGGUAUAACUGCCUGAGGCAUGCCAGGAAAAGAUGUGGGAAUUAGAGAAAAUAAAAUAUUAAACAUGAGUGAGCAAUCACAAACUUCUCAUACUGGGAGGUGUUAAUGAAAUGUAUUAUUAAAACAUGGGAGGAAUUCUCAUUUUUUGCAGUGCUGUUGAGGCCUUUGCUGGACUUCUGUGUCCACACUUUGUGCUAGAGGGAGCUGGUGUUGUGAAUCAUGUGGGUACCGGCCACAGAGGAAUGAGUAGGAAAGAAAUUUUGAAAGUGGAAUCACAGUGUUAUAAAUUGUCACAGUAUCAGACAAGCACAUUCUUAGUCGUUGGUGAGGCAGUUUUUACAAGAGAGAUAAGCUAUAUAAAUCAAUGUGAAACUAGAUUGCAAACUAGGUUUUAACAUUCAAAAGCAAUGAGGUAUUUUUAUAGUUGACAGUUGUGGAAACUCACCAAAUAAGCAACAGCACAUGGUUCAAGAUCACAACUCCUUUUCAAGAGAAAUAAGAAAAUUCUUGUAACUUAGAAAAAUUGAAGGAAUGAAAUUAAUAACGUUGAGGAAGGAAAUAGCAAAGAAUGGUCUCAGCAAUUAAAAGUCCCAGCUAAGCAGGCCACAUGAAAAAUGGGCAACUAGAUCAAUAAAAAAUGUAGAAAUAUAUCUAUACAAAUGCUGCAACUCUGAAGCCUAAAAGAGGUGAACUAGACUGUCUGAUUUUAAAGGAAGUUAUUGACAUAAUAAAUGCCUCAGAAACUUGGCAGAAGGGUAGGAAACUGUAAUAAUAGGGAACAAAUUACAGAGGAAGGCUGGAAAGGGGUACAUUAGUGGUGAAGCAGUGGAGAGUAUGAGGAAUUGUCCCUAAAUGAAGUUUCAGCAGAGGACAUUUUGGAACAAAUCAAUAAAAAGAACAGUAAGAAAGCACCAAGAUAAGAUGAUACUCAAUCAAGAGUUCUGAAAGACCUCAAACGCUAGAUUAAGAGAAAGCUAAAUGUAGCAUGAAAAGUGUCAUUUAAGUUGACCACACUGCAAGAAGGAUGGAAAGUGGCAAAUGUGUCUUCAGCCUUGAGCAAAAGGACUCCAGGACAAAUGUGGAAAACCACCGAUCAGUAAAUCUCACUUCCAAACUGAAUAAGUGGGUAAAAACUACAAUAAUAAAGAAGAGAACUAGUAGACAAUUUCAUAAAUGUGAUUUAUUUGGAAAAAGUCAUUACAGUUCUUGCAGAAGGAGACCGUGUCUCAUAAAUCUGUUUGAACUCUUUGAAGAUGUCAACAAGCUUGUAGGUAAGGCUGAUCUAGUUGAUAAAGUGUGUACGGACUUCCAAACAAAUGUCAGUAAGUCUUUCUGCAAAAACUCUUAAAGUAGUUGAGCUGAGAUAAUAAGAUGUCCUCUCCUAAGUAAAUAAGAUGGAAACAAAAUGGGAUGAAAAGUGGGAGAAAAGAUCAGUUUUUCCAGUGAAAGGAACUCUGCAGCUUAGUCUUGCAACUAUUUGAUUUAGGACCUGUGGUUUUCAGUAUCUUAGAAGUGAUUUGAAAAGAGGGGUGAAUAUUGCUGUGACAAGGUUUGUGGAUGACACACAAUUAGCUCAAAUAGUGAAAUCUGACCCUGAGAAGAGAGGCGGAUGGUUCUCAUGGCAGUGAGUGACUCUGUCAGAAAUAGCACUUGGAAGUCAAUGCUAGUAAUUGCAAAGUAGUUCGUUUGGGAAUAUACAUGUUCAAUUAUAUAUUAUACGUAUUCAAUUACAGAUUGAACUUUACAUUAUUAUCACUUAGAAAUAGAGUUGCUGUAGGAUAACUCUCUGAAGCAUUAAUGCAGUGGCCACAGCAAUAAAAAAUUCAAACUAAAUGAGAAAUUUUUAGAAAAGGAAAAAAGGAAAAGAAAAACAUAAUUACGUGAUUAUGUCACUGUAUAAAUGUUUGGCAAACCCACGUAUUGAUUAAUAUGUGCAGUUCUGUUCAUCCUGUCUUCAUAAAGAAUAUAAUAGAACUAAAAAGGAUGGGUGGGAGUUACAGAGCUCAGAGAUUUAAACACCUAAAUUUAGAUUUCUACCUGUAGGUGUCAAUCUAUGAGGUAGAUAUCUAAACUCAAACACUGAAUCAAAGCAUUUUAAUCUGGAUUCCACCCACAGAAAGUGGAUGAGGAUAGAAUGGUUUUCAUAUCAGGACAGAGAAAAUAUUCAGGCAUGGGACAGAGAUAUUGAGAUCUCCUAGCUAGCUAGGAAACAGUGAAGAGUGUGUGGCUAUUCAUUUUAAGAACAGGAGAAGUUAAGGAUACCCCAUGAAAUUAUGAGGCAUCAGGUCUAAACCAGGAAGUCACACAUUCUCAUAUAACUUAUUACUAAAUUGUAGAACUUAUUGCCAGAGGCUGUUAAGUAGGUCAAAAGUAUAAAUGAAUUAAGAAUUUCUGGAAGGCUGAUGGGAAGUUAGUGUCCUGCCAAACAGAAUUACGAAGGCUCAUUCAGCUGUCAAAAGCCAGGCAGAGGUACAUGGGAAGGACUCAGAGGCAGCUAAGUAGGACAAUAAAGGCACUUUCUAGGCCAGAACAGAGACCAUGGUGAGAAACUGGCAUGCACCACACUGAUAGCUUCUCUUAGUCAGUGGGACACCACAAAGAGAGAACCACAGGUGAGAUCUCGGGAGCAGAAAGUGUGGUACGCUGCAGUGUAGACUUUGGGGGAAGGAAGAGGGAAAGGCAGGGAGAGAAAUCCUGAGCAGAAAUUUUAGAAAGUGAGGGAGACUGAUUAUAGCCAUAAAACAAUAGCCGUUAGCAUAGGUGUUUUCCAGAAAAUGGAAGCAAGAAGCAGUGUUUGUAGGUCAUGAUUUUCAGCACCUCAGAGCUGCCUGAAUGAAGAAAAUCCUAGAACCCACUAGCAGUACAGAUGUUCUCAGGGCUUGCAGCUGGUUACACUUCUGCCUGGGGCUUGAAAUGUAGGUACUAGAAUUCACUUGCUAAAUCUAGUCUUUACUAGAGCAAUGCUCUAGUGGUUUUCAAAGACUUAAAUUGCUAACAACCACAUUCACCCAACUUACCUCUCUCUGACCAAACUCCCUGGGUUUCACUGACCAGCAAUAUUUCAGUCAUUGCUGAAGCUGCAGAUGAGAUCCUGAGUGCAAUCAACAGUGACCCGUAGUCAGUUUGGAUGGAUUGUCUCUGAGGAGUAGCUAACCAGGUACGCAGGGCUGUGGACAGUAAGGCUGGAGAACAUCUCCAGGUCUUUGAUGUGGGAGAGAACCAAAUUAUGAAUGUGGCUACCACGGUAGGCAAGUUUAGUAUAAAGUUGGGUAUAGUGGUCCCAAACUUCCCUUUUUCAAUCCUGUUUUCAUUUUCCAUUUUGUUUGGAUAUAUUUUCAUCAUUCAUUUUGACCUUGUUUCUGUUUUGCGUUACUCUACUAGCUGUCCCCAGGGUAUUUCCGCCUGGCACUUAAAUGUUUGCAGGUAUUUUCUGUCUGCUUAGGCAGCCAUGAAUUUGGCUCCACAGACCUCAGAAGGACUCGGAGUACUCUGGAAAGCAGUAUUGCUCAUCCGCAGGGUGCAAACUCAGGGAAUGAUGAUUUAAUUAGAUUGGUAGCACUACUUAAAAGCAAAAUUGAAAUCUAAUGCAGCCGUCUUUAAAAUACACUUCAGUAUUACAUAAGAAGCCCAUAAUAACAUCAGAAGUGGAAACCUUUAAAUGAGGGUAAAUUUGAUGCCAACUAUUAUAUCCUUUAUUGUAAAGCAUGCUGAGCUGCAACAUGGUAAAAUCCAUUAGUGCUUUGGGGAUUUUUUUUUUUUUCUUUCUGAAGUCGGGAACUAUUCAUUACCUCAAAGUCAAACUUACUGUAAGAAUGUGCAAGUUCUGGUGGGAGUUGCUCCUGCUGAUUGAGGAAGUAUCAUCCUCUCCUAGAACAACCCAAGGGCCUGAGCCUCAUGUCUGUGAGCCUGGUAGAAAAACACUGCAGCCUCCUGUUCCUACAUGAAAUUCCUGCUUUAUUAAGCAUCUCAACCAAAGACCACGAUUACAAGUGCAUUUCUUCCAGUGCCAGUAUGACACUUAAGCAGUCUGCACCCCCUUCUGUCCCCACUUCCUUUUGAUCAUGAUGAGGCUGCCCAGGAACCUGGGACAGAGAAUGGGACUGCCUAAAAAAUAAUUUUCCUAAUCAGUGCUAUUCUUACCUGGGAUCCACCUUGAUCCACUUUUGUAUGUGGCCCCAACACAGCUGUCCUGUCACAACUGUGGGGCUGUCGCAGGAGCUUCUUAUACUGGCACAGCCUCUGAAACGAAAAGAUUUGUAGUUACACACAAAAAAAGAGAGUGCUGUGCGUAAUCUCGGAGCUUUGGUAUGCAUAUGUAUGUUCUUCAGUCUCUGGGUAGGGAUGAUCUGCUUUACAUGAGUACUUGUCACCAUAGCAGGACUUUGAGCUUACUGCCUGAUGCUCCGUUUGAAUUCUGUGACCACAGGACUGUUCCCAGCAUUUCUUACUUUCUCUGACCUAGAAAAUAUUUACUUAUUUUUUAUAAAUCAGAACUGCUGUCCCUGGAAAAAUUUAAUAAGGUAUUUUGGUGCCUGUCAGAGAGUUGCCAAUGGAAAUCAGGGUCAAAAUGGUAGCAUGGUUCUGGACUUAAUUAGGUAGCCUGCUUUUUUUUGGAGAAGUUAUUUUAAAGAUUUGGACACUAGGGAAUUUUCUGCAUUGAGUUAAGAAGAAAACAGCUUUAAAUUUUGUUUCUCCAUUUCCUAGAAAAUGAGUUUUCUGCACGGUUUCGGAUUGUUCAGCCAAAUGCCUCUGUCUUUUCAUGAUAUGUUUCACAACAUAUUUGUUACAUCCAGACAUAGAAUGUUAGAAUUAAUCAAAACUGAAAUAUUUAUGGAGAAAGCCAUUUCAUGUCCAUCUCUGUCAUGAGACUGGCUGCUCUGAUAGGGAUUAGAGGUUGCUACACUAAUGACUUAGACUUUUGUCUCAUUGCCAGAGCAGUUUCCCAAUUUAGAACCUUUUCUUCUGAUUAAUAUUUGUAUUCCUCCCACAAUUCCCCUUCUUAUAGGAACUCGUACUGGGAAUUAUUCCAGACCUACAUAAUGUCUCUGAAAUCUUUUUAUCCCUCUGUUUGCUGAUCAGUGGAAAGGAUUUUAAUGCCAGGUUAGGUAAUCGAGAUAAAUCCUAACUUCAUCUAACUUUAUCCCUCGACCAUGUCUUGGAUAUUCUAGAAACAUUUUUUGUGAUCCAUAAAUAAAUUCACAUAGGAUUUUGAUAAAUCUUUUUUUUUGCUCUUCUUUUUUCAGUGAAGCCUCAUUACAUUAAAUGGGAGAUCAAACAGAGUGUAUUACAACUUCCACUAUGAACUAGUUUGUUUAAUGCAACACCUUUUUGGGGAUUGAAAACAUCAGUAAGUUCCAAAGACAAAGUUUUGUGCACAGUAUUAUCCUGAAGCAGUAAUGGCUUCUGGUACCUGAGAAUGCUUUCUAGCCCCAUUCAGUUGUUUGAAAUAGCUUACACAGUGGUGCAAAGUAUACAGUGAUUUAAUACACUUCACUUCUAACUGCAACUUGUUACAAAGAAGAGGGAGUCAAACUUAUUUAAAGUAGGUCUCUCGCUGGCACUUGAAGCCAGCAAAGGCGUGGAUGGCUGUGUGGCUUGGGAGAGGUAGGGCUCCUGGCUCAGAGCCACAUCACAGCACUACUCCAUGAACUCCAUGAGCUUCUGCAUGCCUGUUUGGGACAUUCAUGGCCACAAGCCAGCCACUUCUCAUGCACAGUCACUGGGAAAAGUACAUACCUAAGGAAAAGCUUACAAAAAACUACAUCCUUGUUAGAAAAUGAUCUGACCUUGCAUGUGGGCAGUAACAGGGAGCAGAACUCGAGCCCAUCUCUAUCCUUUUUUGCUUGACUUCCUUAACUCCAGCAGAAGGUUUCAAGCUAACCCAGAAGUCAAAGUUUUCUUACCAAAAUUUUGGUCUGAGGGACUGCCGAGUGACAACUUUGUACCUCAGAGCUGUCAGGUUAAAUGAGCCUGGGAAAGGUGGUGGCUGCAGUUUGUUAGGAGAACUGGACUCCCUGUUACCCUUGACCAUCCUAAUUAUAGACAGGAUGGAAAAAAACCCUCCCUUGCUUUGACCCGGAGUUGCUCUUUCCUCUGAUGGUUCAUUGAUUCCCUUUGCUUCCCUUCUCAUUUAAUAGAUUUUUAUAAGUUGGGCAUUUACAGAUCUGCUGCUAUUAACAUUCAAUGUUAGUGGACCCGAGAGCUUCUCUGCCAACUAUGCUGGAGCUUCUGAGCCUGCUGAUUUAAAAAUGUUCAUUGCUGAUAGAUUCUAACAUCUCUCUCAGUUACUAAUAGACUGGAAAGUAUUUUAUCAUCCUCAAGCAAUGAAAGCAAAUCAUCCUUCUUUCCAAAUACCGAAUAAAAGUCUGUUUGAACACUUCUGCAUUUUCUGCAUAAUCCUUCACAAUUCUUCUGUCUGCACUGAGCAGUGACCCCGUACUGUUGCUAGGAUUUCUUUUGCAAACACAACUUUCUUGUGUUAAGCUCUGUCAGCCAUGGAUUUUAUUCUGAGGUUUCUUUGUUUCGUGCUUCUGUUCAUGUAGGUCAGGAGUUUUCCUGGCUAUUGAUUUACAACUAGUUACAUGUAGUACUAAUGUUUGACAUUUCUGCCUUUGUUUUUCUUUGCUGAUAUCAGUACCAAAAUUUAACCACACGAGUCAAUUGUUUUAAGAUUUCAUGUUGAGUGUCUGACUCAGUCUGAUAUUUUUCACAUUUUUGAAAGUGUCAGGUAAAACGGUAAAAGGAUUAGGAAAAAGGUACCGUUUUCCCAAUGUUUUAAAUAUGUACAUAUACCUUUAUAAUAUAUGUUUAAUGUUGAAUAGAUAUAUAUAAAUAAAACCCCCAAUAGCAAUGCCAUAUAGUCCAUUUUUGACAAGCUAGAGUCUUAGUAUUAGAAUUAAGGGCUUGAAAUUUAGGAAAGGAAUAACCCCGCUGAAAGAUGUGCAUUUUUUCUUUUCCUUUGAAAUCUGACGUGUCCUGCCAGAGUCUCUCACCAUGUCAGUCUGUGUCUGUUCAGCGGAGACUUGCCAGUGUUCAGCUGUGUAUUCCACUGAGACCUUGUCCAACAACAGGCACCACUCCCAGCUUCAGGCAUGAGCAAGAUUUUACUGCAGUGCACAGCAGAGGAGCUGGAAGGGUCCGGCAGUGCUGUGGUUGAGGGGAGGUGAAGGACAGCAGCCGAGGGCUGGAAGCAGCAGCCACAUCCUCGAGCUGAGUUUGUUGCUAUGAUUGUGCCAGGGCUGUGGAGGAGGAGCCGAGCUGGCUGAGUGCUGCUGUGCCUCUGGAACUGGUGGAAGAGCUGGAGCAUCUCACCUCUGAGGCCUUGCUGGCUGGCUCCUUUUCUCACACCAAUUGAUGCCCUACUUUGAGUUCCCUCUGCCCUUCCGGAGCGCGUACAUCAGGCCAUGCUGGUCCUUUUCCUUCUGUCUCUGGGAACAGCACUAACGGAAGUAUCUCCCCUUGGACCUGGAGCAGGUUCUCUGUUCUCAGGGGCAGAUGUCCCUCUGCUUUGGCACAGGCUCUUUGCCAGGGCUGCUGGGAUGGAGAGCAGCCACAAGGGCUUUUGCAUCCUGGUCUGUGGUGUGAGGCACACUCCCUGGCUGAGGCUUUUUGGUCCCCUCACCUUUUUCUCCAGGACUUGUGUCCAGGUGCUGUGGAGUGCCUGGUCUCUGCAGCAUGCUUCAAACGUGGUAGUACAGUGUGGGGGCUGUAGUGCCAGGGUUUCAGAGGUGCUGCAAGGAGGUUACUGGUGUGUUACUCUUCCCAGCUUGACUCAGGAGAUGGGGAGUUUCAUUCCUCUGUGUGAUUGCUUGGUCCUCUAUUGGAGUCUGUGGGUGUUUUUGGGUUGCAGGGGUAUGUGGCAGAGGGGAGGGUAGAUGAGACCAGGAGUGCUUGUACCAGGAGUGUCAGUGUCUUCUCCAAAAAGAGCCAUUGGUCUGGUUCCUGGGAUGGGAAUGGAGCUACCACGGGCAGCAUUGCACUGGAGUGGGAGAGCUGGCUGCUGGGGCUGAGCUCUGCAGCACUCUACAGCUCUGCCUGUCCCCUGCACUGGUGUGCAAAGACCCCACAGAGGGUGGCUGAAAGGGGCCAUCUGUGGGCGUGAGGGUCCUUAUAGGUGAGGGGGGAUCCCUGUGUGAGGGCUGAGAUGUGCUGCUGCUUUUGGCCCCUGCACAAGUGCCCCCUCCUGCCCUGAGUGUGGCUUCUGGAGGAAGAGGAGAGGUAAAGUGUGUACCUGCUCCUGUCAUGGUGUGGGGAUGAUUUGUGGUCCCUCUGCAUAUCCCCCAUUGGUCUGUGGGGCAGGGGGCAUGGUGGGCAGGCAGCUUUGCACAAGGCACAAGAGACGUACCAGCAGAUGGGACAUGGUGCAUGCUGCUCCCUGUCAGGCAGGGCAUUUUGGGAAGCUGCUUGGAUUUUGGGCUGUUCCUCAGCAGUGAGCCAGUUCCCAAACAGCAUUUGUUAGGUUGGAGUUUGCAGGGCAGGAGACUGCUCUGGGACCUGGGGAGUUGGAGAGACCUGUGUUGGUCUCAUUUAAUCACAAAGAGCUUUUCUU